GUUUGCCCACGGCUGCCCUAGACACUAGAGUUUGGUCUUGCCCUUUUUUUUUUUUUUUUUACACAUGGCUUUGAAUCUUAAUCUUCUGGCUCCAGAACCCCAUUAGAGAGAACAUCAUGAAAGUCUGGAAGGAUUAACCAUUGAAGAUGCCAUCAUUGUUACAGAGAAAGCAAUGAAAGCCAUCAAGCCCGAAACAAUAAUUCCUGCUGGAGAAACUGCCCUGAUGCUGUGCAUGACUUCACAGGAUUUACGACAAAGCCAAUCAAGGAAAUCAUGACAGAUUGUGGAAUUGGUGAAGGUGGGUGGUGAAGGGUCUCAGGAUGUGGAUCUUGGAAAAAUUCAAGAGCUCAUAGAUUGCACACCAGAAGAAUUCACAGAAGACGACUCAAUGGAGUUGAGUGUUUCUGAGCCAGUGCCAGACGAUGAGGAAGAAGACAGAAGCAGCAGCCAGAAAACAGUUGUUAUCAGACAGGCAGAAGAGUUCUGAUUAUUCAAGACUGCUUUUGGCUUUGACGACAUGGACCCUUCUAUGAUACAGGCACUGAAACAAAAGCAAAUGGUGGAGUUUCUUCCACCUCUGCCACCCACCUGAGAGGCAGCCGCCGACCUCUUCCUCCUCCUCAGCCUGUUCAACAUGGCUUUGUGUGUCUUCAUGUGGCAGGAACUGUGUGAGGCCUUGUGUCGUCAUGUCCAAAGUAUUUUCAUUGUGUAGAACAUCGAGCACAAGAUGUGUAUGAGAGUGGAUAGCCUACCACACAUAGGCAAGAACAGGCCGGCGCAGACCUGUAACCUGAGUUUGUGCAAUCAGAUGCUCCUCAGAGCCUGAGCAGACAAGCCAAGGACAGGACCGGUGGGCAGGUGAGAGGAAGGUGAGCCCCUGAAGGGGUCGCUCUCCCUCCUGUGUCUGGGUGAGACCCCCUAGACUCCCUUAGCUUCCAACUCCACACCCACCUAACAGAUUCCCUUUGGCUCACAUUAGCCCAUCUCUUCCUGUUGUUGGCAUUAAACAUCCUAACAGACCUGAUUAGGAUUUGGCAGGGAGUCUUCACCCUCAAGCCUCGUUUCACCAGAAUCCCUGGUACAUCUUAUUACCGCUCAUGUCACAACACCAGGGCUGGGUCCAUGCCAAGCUCCCUGGGGGUUCGGAUGUUCAGCCAGGGUGGAGAAGUAUGGCUUUAGGUUGUCUUGGCCAGUGAGUAAAUUUUAUAAAUCACCACAAUCAGAGGUACUGAAAAGAGAGACACAAAAAUACUGUGGCAGGAUCAUAAAUCCUACGUGUUCUUUGGCUGCCUUGAAUUAAGUGAGGACACUUCCCAGAAUCCUGUUUAUUUGGGAAAUUGGAAAAUUCUAGCCAUCACCAAGAAUGGUUUUGUUUUUUCUUAGGUUACCUGACUUCCCUCGGUACCUAGAGCUGAUUACAGCACCAGGAAAAAUUUAAAAAGUAGAUAUGCAUUUCCCUGUAUUGUUACUCAUUAAAGAUCUACUUCAUCUACUUAUUUGCUCAAACUGCUGUGUACCCCCAACUGCUGGGGACACCAGUGUCCUAUCUCAGCCCGUUUUCCUCCAGUUAAUUGUACCCCAUUCUGGGUCUUGCUGCCCAGCCUCUGUGAUCAGGGGCUGGGGUUCAGGCUUUCUGCUUUGUUCUUUUGUAGACUGAUAAAUAAAUGCUUUUUCCUCUCAGCGAUUGCAAAUCAGGAGAACAUCCAUGCUCAUCAUUCAUUCAUUCAUACUCUUUUUAUUUUUUAAAAAAAUCUUUUAGUAAUUUCACAUAAUUUUAUUAUUUUUUAAUCCUCAUAUUUUUUCAAUUGAUUUUGAG